GUGCUCAUGUCCUAUCAGCUGGUUGGUGGGGUAACGGCCUACCAAGGCGACGACGGGUAGCCGGCCUGAGAGGGUGAACGGCCACACUGGAACUGAGAUACGGUCCAGACUCCUACGGGAGGCAGCAGUGGGGAAUAUUGGGCAAUGGGGGCAACCCUGACCCAGCGACGCCGCGUGGGGGAAGACGGCCUUCGGGUUGUAAACCUCUUUUGUACGGGAAGUGACGGUACUGUACGAAUAAGUCCCGGCUAACUACGUGCCAGCAGCCGCGGUAAUACGUAGGGGACGAGCGUUGUCCGGAAUUACUGGGCGUAAAGGGCGCGCAGGCUGUGCUGCAAGUCAGCUGUUAAAUGUCUGGGCUUAACCCGGGCAUGCGGUUGACUGCGGUGCUGGAGUGCUGUAGAGGCAAGUGGAAUUCCCAGUGUAGCGGUGAAAUGCGUAGAU
rnacentral:rRNA from 1 species